AGUGUCACCAGCCAGAGCCCUAUAAAUAUCUUGGGCCAUACUACAGCUGGACAACAUCAAGCAUGAACCAUGUGAAACUGUGGUCAGCAAAGAAUACACACAAAGGGUCAGAAAAAUUCUCAAAAGCAAGCUCAAUGGAGGCAACACCCAUCAAGGCCAUAAACACCUGGGCCAUACCUGUCAUAAGAUAUACUGCUGGCAUUAUAAAUUGGACACAGGUGGAACUGGACAAUUUGGACAGAAAAACAAGAAAACUCAUGACCAUUCAUCAUUCACUGCACCCUCGCAGUGAUGUUGACCGGCUGUAUCUGCCUAGAAGAUCAGGGGGCAGAGGACUCUUACAAGUAAAGCAAGCAGUCAAAGAAGAAGAACAUGCCCUGGCAGAAUAUGUCAAGCAAAGUGAAGAACCUGCUUUGAUUGAAGUCAAAAAUCAGAAACUCCUCAAAGCACAGCAGACAAAAAACCAGUACAAGAAAACCGCACUACAAACUAGAGCUGACAGCUGGCACAACAAAACACUGCAUGGAAAGUUCCUUGACAAAAUUGAAGGAAAAGCUGAUAAGGAGAAGACCUGGCUAUGGUUCAAGAAUGGAACACUGAAGAAGGAGACAGAAGGCCUGAUCCUUGCAGCCCAGGAGCAAGCCAUCAGAACAAAUGCAAUUAAGGCCAAGAUUGAAAAAUCAGCUGAUGACCCAAAAUGCAGACUGUGCAAGGAAACCGACGAAACCAUUGAUCAUAUCCUCAGCUGCUGUAAGACAGACUACAAACAGAGGCACAACUAUGUGGCCCAAAUGAUUCAUUGGAACUUAUGCCUCAAGUACCACCUCUCAGCAGCAAAGAACUGGUGGGAUCACAAACCUGCAAAAGUAUUGGAAAAUGAACAUGCAAAGAUACUGUGGGACUUCCGAAUCCAGACUGACAAAGUUCUGGAACACAACACACCAGACAUCACAGUUGUGGAAAAGAACAAGGUUUGGAUCAUUGAUGUUGCCAUCCCAGGUGACAGUCGCAUAGAUGAAAAACAACAGGAAAAACUCAGCCGCUAUCAGGACCUCAAGAUUGAACUUCAAAGACUCUGGCAGAAACCAGUGCAGGUGGUCCCGGUGGUGAUGGGCACACUGGGUGCUGUGCCAAAAGAUCUCAGCCGGCAUUUGGAAACAAUAGACAUUGACAAAAUCACCAUCUGCCAACUGCAAAAGGCCACCCUACUGGGAUCUGCACACAUCAUCAGAAAAUACAUCACACAGUCCUCUGGGUGCCGUGCCAAAAGAUCUCAGCCAGCAUUUGGAAACAAUAUGCAUUGA
rnacentral:lncRNA from 1 species